GUGGCACCAAGACUAGGCUUCCUGUAUGUGAACUUGCUAAACUUGCUAAACUUGCUGGUAGUACCUUCAUUCUGGAGAAGAUAAGGACAAUUCCAGUUCAAUUCCGGCCCCUGUCUGUAAGGAGUUCAUACAUUCUUGCCGUGACUGCGUGGGUUUCCUCUGGGUGCUCUAGUUUCCUCCCACGUUCCAAAGAUGUACGGAUUAGAAAGUUGUGGGCAUGCUAUGUUGGUGCUGGAAGUGUGGCAACACUUGCAGGCUGCCCCCAGAACACUCUAUGCAAAAGGUGCAUUUCACUGUGUGUUUUGAUGUACAUGUGACUAAUAAAGAAAUCUUAUCUUA